rnacentral:lncRNA from 10 species
GGCAGAGAGAGGAAAACACGCGAGUGCACACACGGUGAUAUCUUGCGGGUGAUGAAUAUGAUAAUUGGACAAGGGACGAGAGAACCAUUCUCUGCUUUCAAUAGGACAGAAGAGCUCCUUGGCACUGGAUGCCUCCGGGUCUGGUUGAGAGAGGAAUGGUUAGGAGACUGUUCUGAGGAUACGCAGACAUCAUCCAAAGCUUCCUACAUUCAGAUGAGGACAGAGGUUGGGCCAGAGCUUUGUAAGCUUGUUACCUAAGGAUGGUUCUGACCAUGUAAGCAGAUCACAGAAGCUAUUCACAGAUCAUCAUCAGCCAGAGGUGACUUCUGUUGCUUGCAGCUCAGAAUCCUAGAUGUUUCCGGUGGCACUGAAGAGCCUCUGCUGAAGCUCUAUACCAUUUGCCAUUUACAAAGGGAAAUGAAAUAAUAACGCUGACCAUUUGUGGAGCACAUUCUGUCUGGAGGCAAAGGAUGCCAAGAUGGGAAAGCCACAUAAUGGAAGGAUCCUGGAUUUCAGAGCUGUCACUUGGAGGAGGGGCACCCAGUGAAGGUGUCUUAUCUAACCCACACCAUAUCUUCAUGAAGUGGCCAUAUGGAUUUGAUCCCUAUCCUUCAGAGGUGCUCAGCCUAAGGGAACACGGAUAGUAGAUUAAGCACUGACCAGAGCCAGCCUUGACAAUGUGCUGAUGGCAACCU